UGGCGAACGGGUGAGUAACACGUGGGUGAUCUGCCCUGCACUUCGGGAUAAGCCUGGGAAACUGGGUCUAAUACCGGAUAGGAGCCAUUUUUAGUGUGAUGGUUGGAAAGUUUUUUCGGUGUAGGAUGAGCUCGCGGCCUAUCAGCUUGUUGGUGGGGUAAUGGCCUACCAAGGCGGCGACGGGUAGCCGGCCUGAGAGGGUGGACGGCCACAUUGGGACUGAGAUACGGCCCAGACUCCUACGGGAGGCAGCAGUGGGGAAUAUUGCACAAUGGGCGCAAGCCUGAUGCAGCGACGCCGCGUGGGGGAUGACGGCCUUCGGGUUGUAAACUCCUUUCGCUAGGGACGAAGCUUUUUGUGACGGUACCUAGAUAAGAAGCACCGGCUAACUACGUGCCAGCAGCCGCGGUAAUACGUAGGGUGCGAGCGUUGUCCGGAAUUACUGGGCGUAAAGGGCUCGUAGGUGGUUUGUCGCGUCGUCUGUGAAAUUCCGGGGCUUAACUCCGGGCGUGCAGGCGAUACGGGCAUAACUUGAGUACUGUAGGGGUAACUGGAAUUCCUGGUGUAGCGGUGAAAUGCGCAGAUAUCAGGAGGAACACCGAUGGCGAAGGCAGGUUACUGGGCAGUUACUGACGCUGAGGAGCGAAAGCAUGGGUAGCGAACAGGAUUAGAUACCCUGGUAGUCCAUGCCGUAAACGGUGGGCGCUAGGUGUGAGGGUCUUUUCACGACUUUCGUGCCGUAGCUAACGCAUUAAGCGCCCCGCCUGGGGAGUACGGCCGCAAGGCUAAAACUCAAAGGAAUUGACGGGGGCCCGCACAAGCGGCGGAGCAUGUGGAUUAAUUCGAUGCAACGCGAAGAACCUUACCUGGGCUUGACA
rnacentral:rRNA from 1 species